GACGAACGCUGGCGGCGUGCUUAACACAUGCAAGUCGAGCGGUAAGGCCUUUCGGGGUACCCGAGCGGCGAACGGGUGAGUAACACGUGGGUGAUCUGCCCUGCACUUCGGGAUAAGCCUGGGAAACUGGGUCUAAUACCGGAUAUGACCUCCUAUCGCAUGGUGGGUGGUGGAAAGAUUUAUCGGUGCAGGAUGGGCCCGCGGCCUAUCAGCUUGUUGGUGGGGUAAUGGCCUACCAAGGCGACGACGGGUAGCCGACCUGAGAGGGUGACCGGCCACACUGGGACUGAGACACGGCCCAGACUCCUACGGGAGGCAGCGGUGGGGAAUAUUGCACAAUGGGCGAAAGCCUGAUGCAGCGACGCCGCGUGAGGGAUGACGGCCUUCGGGUUGUAAACCUCUUUCAGCAGGGACGAAGCGCAAGUGACGGUACCUGCAGAAGAAGCACCGGCUAACUACGUG
rnacentral:rRNA from 1 species